rnacentral:misc_RNA from 1 species
AACGCACAUUGCGCCCUUUGGUAUUCCAAAGGGCAUGCCUGUUCGAGCGUCAUUUGUACCCUCAAGCUUUGCUUGGUGUUGGGCGUUUUUUGUCUUUGGUCUGCCCAAAGACUCGCCUCAAAACGAUUGGCAGCCGGCCUCCUGGUUUCGCAGCGCAGCACAUUUUUGCGCUUGCAAUCAGCAAUAGAGGGCGGCACUCCAUCAAGACUCGUUUUUAUCACUUUUGACCUCGGAUCAGGUAGGGAUACCCGCUGAACUUAA